CCCACUUCCUCCUUCCUUCUCCCUCUCGAGAAGGACCCGAAAAGCUGGAGUCGGCUUCUGCUGUCCCUGGAGUGGCCUGUGCACACCAGUCCCCUCCCUGCCCCUGGACAGCCCCCCUGCUCCUGCCGGGCUGCAAGCUGCGAGGCCUUCAGAUGGGGGCACCCUUGGACCUGGCCUCCUUCAAGAGGCAGGGGCACAGACCUCCGCGACUAAGGCCCUUCCCUGGCUCUCCACUCUCCUGCUUUGGGUGUCCAAGGACAGGACCUCCAGCCUAGCUUCUUGAGGCCAAACCUCUCCCUCUCUCUCUGCCCCAAAAGCCACCUCCCAGUCUUCCUGAGAAGCUGAUGCUCCCUUAAAAUCUGCUGCCCCCAGCUCUCCACUGUCCAUUAUGAAUCGGCCACAGGGUUUUGUGGUCUCCCCACAACCGAGGCAGCCGAGGACCCAUGGCUGUCAAGAUCACAGAAGGAUUCCACUUGCCACUUCUGCCCAUCGCUUCACCAAGUGAGGAACCCCAAUUUUCUACCUCUUCCGCCAAGCUUGUAGUGUUCAUGUUAACAGAUAACCAACAGAACAGGGCACAGUAUUGUCCUGGGUUUUUGCCUCCCAAGUAGGGAAGCCACGGGCUGGCCAGAGAGUUGUAUUUUGUGAAUUCGCGUAGGUUUUUCGGGAAGGGAUCAGGGUGGAAGGGGUCUUUCCAAAACCCCUCUCAACCCUCCCACAUGACCUGAGACCAGAGAGGGGCUGCAAGCUGGGUGAGGAAGGGAGUUUGAGAAGGGCGAUUGCACAGAGGGCUUUGCCACGGGAAGCAGUGAGAACAUGCCAUCCCUCAGUACCCCUGAAUGAAGCCUACUGUUCUUCCUCCAAGACUGAAUAAAAAUGUAUUCUACGCUCAGAUCCACCAGACAAAGAAGGAAUAUAGCAACAAAGCAGGGGAGAGAUGAAAAUGGGCAGUCGGCUGUUCAUUCACAUACAUGUAGUUCAUCUGCAAGGCUUCCAAGAAAGCAGCCGCACACCAAAUCCUUUCCGACGCUGCUGUAUCUGAGCCUCCUGUGAGAUAAUCCUCUUAAUGGAAUAUUUAAGAAAUCGGAUAUAAAUCACCAACCUUUUAUCUCACCUGAAGAUCCAUACUCCAUUGGACGGAUGGUGUAUAUGUCUCUCUCCAUACGGAUGGGUGCAGGUGACUUUUCGAGCGGAGGUGGCAAUCUCUGCUUUUUUUAUUUUGAAGAUAGGGUUGUAAAGUUAUAAAUUUUAGAGAUCAGAGCCCAGAAAACAGCUGCACCUAGAGACAAUUAAAACACACAUCCCUUGGAAAAAACCUUUUUUGUCAUUUGCAACCAACAAAAAUGCCUGUUAUUGUGAUGUGCUCAUAAAUAACUUGAUUUUGGCAUAUGCUUUUGUACCAAACAGAAGAUGAAUAAAUUAAAUUUGAUUUACAACCUUUUUCAUUUUUAUUAGCACUGCUCUGAAGAGUUUAUGUAAGGGACGUGCCAGAGCAGUUAUGCCAAAUGUUUUAAGGCGUUGGUAUUG